AAAAUUAAACACUAUCAACAAUAUCUAAGCAUGUAGACGUCAUAGGUGGCUAUUUUUGGACUGGGGUUCAAUCCCCCACAGCUCCACCA
rnacentral:tmRNA from 1 species